rnacentral:rRNA from 1 species
GAUGAACGCUGACAGAAUGCUUAACACAUGCAAGUCAACUUGAACUUCGGUUUGGGUGGCGGACGGGUGAGUAACGCGUAAAGAACUUGCCUCACAGUUAGGGACAACAUUUGGAAACGAAUGCUAAUACCUGAUAUUAUGAUUUUAGGGCAUCCUAGAAUUAUGAAAGCUAUAUGCGCUGUGAGAGAGCUUUGCGUCCCAUUAGCUAGUUGGAGAGGUAACGGCUCACCAAGGCGAUGAUGGGUAGCCGGCCUGAGAGGGCGAACGGCCACAAGGGGACUGAGACACGGCCCUUACUCCUACGGGAGGCAGCAGUGGGGAAUAUUGGACAAUGGGCCAAGAGUCUGAUCCAGCAAUUCUGUGUGCACGAUGAAGUUUUUCGGAAUGUAAAGUGCUUUCAGUUGGGAAGAAAAAAAUGACGGUACCAACAGAAGAAGUGACGGCUAAAUACGUGCCAGCAGCCGCGGUAAUACGUAUGUCACAAGCGUUAUCCGGAUUCAUUGGGCGUAAAGCGCGUCUAGGUGGUUAUAUAAGUCUGAUGUGAAAAUGCAGGGCUCAACUCUGUAUUGCGUUGGAAACUGUGUAACUAGAGUACUGGAGAGGUAAGCGGAACUACAAGUGUAGAGGUGAAAUUCGUAGAUAUUUGUAGGAAUGCCGAUGGGGAAGCCAGCUUACUGGACAGAUACUGACGCUGAAGCGCGAAAGCGUGGGUAGCAAAAAGG